AUGAACGCUGGCGGCGUGGAUAAGGCAUGCAAGUCAAACGGCCCGCAAGGGCAGUGGCGAACGAGGUAGUAAUGCAUAGGUACGAACCCAAAAGUCAGGAAUAACUAGUCGAAAGAUUAGCUAAUACUUGAUAGUCUCUUCGGAGUAAAGAUUUAUCGCUUUUGGAUCGGCCUAUGUGAUAUCAGCUAGUUGGUAAGGUAAUGGCUUACCAAGGCUAUGACGUCUAGGGGAGCUGAGAGGCUGACCCCCACCGAUGGUACUGAGACACGGACCAUACACCUACGGGUGGCUGCAGUCGAGAAUCUUCCGCAAUGGGCGAAAGCCUGACGGAGCGACGCCGCGUGGUUGAUGAAGUUCUUAGGAAUGUAAAAACCUUUUAUGAGGGAGAAAGUUUAUUGAUAGUACCUCAUGAAUAAGGUGUUGCUAAACUCGU
rnacentral:rRNA from 1 species